rnacentral:sRNA from 1 species
GAGGUUCGACUCGAGCGAAGCGAGAGAACGUUGCGUCAGCAACGGCCCGCAGGGCGAGUCACGCAGUGGCGAGUCAUCCUCUAUCACCGGCAG